UGAGAUUGUGCUUACUGCACUUUUCUUAUCUACACACGUGUUUUUGUUUUAUUCUUAAAACUUGCUUUGGCAGUGGCUGCUUAAUUGCUCUGCUGCCAGAGGAUAAACUCAACCUAAAUUUUUUAUUUUAAACUAGUCAACUGAUUAUAUUUAUUAAUAGUCAAAACUUUCAACAACGGAUCUCUUGGUUCUCGCAUCGAUGAAGAACGCAGCGAAAUGCGAUAAGUAAUAUGAAUUGCAGAUAUUCGUGAAUCAUCGAAUCUUUGAACGCACAUUGCGCCCUCUGGUAUUCCGGAGGGCAUGCCUGUUUGAGCGUCAUUUCUCCCUCAAACCCCCGGGUUUGGUGAUGAGCAAUACGCCAGGUUUGCUUGAAAGUUAGGAGGAGUAUUUAUAACAAUGUAUUAGGUCUAACCACUCCAUUGUGCUUAAUAAAAAGCUCCAAUCUAUAUUUCAAACUUCGACCUCAAAUCAGGUAGG
rnacentral:rRNA from 1 species